rnacentral:lncRNA from 1 species
AAGUGAAUACAGCCUGCUGCCUCGUCUGGCCACGUGGCAGAAAUCCGAGGACGCGGCGGAUAAAAUUAUGUACAUCAUCGAGUGCGAGAUGAGAGGGUGCCGGUACACUCUCGGCUUAGGCGAGCCAAACCUCGCCGGGAAACCAAACCUCGAAUACGACGCCGUUUGCAAACCACACGAGCUCCACUCUCUGAAAAAGAACCCCUACGAUCACCAAAUAAACAAUCACGAGAAUCAGACUCUCUACACAGCACACCAAAUCCUCGAAUCGUGGAUCUUCACAACGCAGCAGCUCCUAAAACGCAUCGUUUCCAGGAUAGAGAGUAAGCAAUUCGAAGAAGCGUCAAACGAC